GGGGGGCGGCCGAAAUCUUGCUAGAUUACACCAUGCAUGUCAAGUACAAGCCUCAGUAAGGGUGAAACCGCGAAUGGCUCAUUAAAUGCACACUUAAUGUACUGGAUAGUAACAGUUACUUGGAUAACUGCGGUAAUUCUGGAGCUAAUACAUGCGUACAAGCCCCGACUCACGGAGGGGUGCUUUUAUUAGACUAAAACCAAACGGUUUCGGCCGUCAAACUGGGUGAAUCUGAAUAACUUUGAGCUGAUCGCACGGCUUUAUGCCGGCGACGUAUGGCCUUCCAAGGUGUGCCCUAUCAACUCGGUCGGGACUGUGGCAUAGACGCCCACAGUGGUUUUGACGGGUAACGGGGAAUUAGGGUUCGAUUCCGGAGAGGGAGCCUGAGAAACGGCUACCACUUCUAAGGAAGGCAGCAGGCACGCAAAUUACCCACUGGCCGAAGGCCGAGGUAGUGACGAAAAAUAACGAUACCAGACUCAUCCGAGGCCUGGUAAUCGGAAUGAGUACACUUUAAAUCCUUUAACGAGGAACCAUUGGAGGGCAAGUCUGGUGCCAGCAGCCGCGGUAAUUCCAGCUCCAAUAGCGUAUAUUAAUUUUGUUGUGGUUAAAAAGCUCGUAGUUGGAUCUCGGCGGGCAGGGGGCGGUUCGUUAUUUGACGUGUACUGCCCCAUUUGUCCGUGUUUUUGGUGGAAUUCCUAGUGGUGCUCUUCACCGAGUGUCCUAAGAGGCCAUCACGUUUACUUUGAAAAAAUUAGAGUGCUCCCAGCAGGCUCGUACACGCCUGAAUAUUUGUGCAUGGAAUAAUGGAAUAGGACGUCGUUCCUAUUUUGUUGGUUUUAGGAAUCGACGUAUGAUUUAAUAGGACAGCCGGGGGCCAUCGUAUUUCAGACGGACAGAGAUGAAUCUUGUACGGUCUGGAGGACGAAACACUUUGCCGACAAGCCAAGUCUGGUUU
rnacentral:rRNA from 1 species